UUCUACCUGUUUAACAAAAACAUGUCUUUUUGUAAAUAAUAUAAAGUCUAAUCUGCCCACUGAUUUAAUUAUUAAAGGGCUGCAGUAUUUUGACUGUACAAAGGUAGCAUAAUCAUUAGUCAUUUAAUUGAUGACUUGUAUGAAAGAUUGGAUGAAAUAUAUACUGUCUCUUAUUUAUAAUAUAAAAUUUAAUUUUUUAGUUAAAAAGCUAAAAUUAAUUAAAAAGACGAGAAGACCCUAUAGAGUUUUAUAAAUUAUAAUUAUUAAGAUUAUUUAUAAAAUUAAUAAUUAAAAUAAUUUAAUUUAAUUUGUUGGGGUGACAAAAAAAUAAAAAUAUACUUUUUUUUUAUAAAACAUAAAUAAGUGAAUAAUUGAUUCAAUAUUAUCGAUUAUGAACC
rnacentral:rRNA from 1 species